UACGUAGGGUGCAAGCGUUGUCCGGAAUUAUUGGGCGUAAAGAGCUCGUAGGCGGUCUGUCGCGUCUGCUGUGAAAACUCGGGGCUUAACUCCGGGCCUGCAGUGGGUACGGGCAGACUAGAGUGCGGUAGGGGAGACUGGAAUUCCUGGUGUAGCGGUGAAAUGCGCAGAUAUCAGGAGGAACACCGGUGGCGAAGGCGGCAUCCUGGACCGACAUUGACGCUGAGGAGCGAAAGCUAGGGGAGCAAACGGG
rnacentral:rRNA from 1 species